rnacentral:rRNA from 1 species
UAGCCGUAAACGAUACUCGCUAGGUGUCGGCCACGGUGCGACCGUUGUCGGUGCCGUAGGGAAGCCGUGAAGCGAGCCACCUGGGAAGUACGGCCGCAAGGCUGAAACUUAAAGGAAUUGGCGGGGGAGCACAACAACGGGUGGAGCUUGCGGUUUAAUUGGAUUCAACGCCGGAAAUCUUACCGGGACCGACAGCAACAUGAAGGCCAGGCUGAAGACUUUGCCGGAUUAGCUGAGAGGAGGUGCAUGGCGUGUGACUGU